GCGGAGGGAUCAUUACUGAGUGAGGGCCUUCGGGCUCGACCUCCAACCCUUUGUGAACACAACUUGUUGCUUCGGGGGCGACCCUGCCGUUUCGACGGCGAGCGCCCCCGGAGGCCUUCAAACACUGCAUCUUUGCGUCGGAGUUUAAGUAAAUUAAACAAAACUUUCAACAACGGAUCUCUUGGUUCUGGCAUCGAUGAAGAACGCAGCGAAAUGCGAUAAGUAAUGUGAAUUGCAGAAUUCAGUGAAUCAUCGAAUCUUUGAACGCACAUUGCGCCCCUUGGUAUUCCGAGGGGCAUGCCUGUUCGAGCGUCAUUUCACCACUCAAGCCUGGCUUGGUAUUGGGCGCCGCGGUCAAUCCGCGCGCCUCAAAGUCUCCGGCUGAGCUGUCCGUCUCUAAGCGUUGUGAUUUCAUUAAUCGCUUCGGAGUGCGGGCGGCCGCGGCCGUUAAAUCUUUCAAAGGUUGACCUCGGAUCAGGUAGGGAUACCCGCUGAACUUAAGCAUAUCAAUAAGC
rnacentral:rRNA from 1 species